rnacentral:rRNA from 1 species
UCGGGAAUAUUGCGCAAUGGAGGAAACUCUGACGCAGUGACGCCGCGUAUAGGAAGAAGGUUUUCGGAUUGUAAACUAUUGUCGUUAGGGAAGAUACAAGACAGUACCUAAGGAGGAAGCUCCGGCUAACUACGUGCCAGCAGCCGCGGUAAUACGUAGGGAGCAAGCGUUAUCCGGAUUUAUUGGGUGUAAAGGGUGCGUAGACGGGACAACAAGUUAGUUGUGAAAUCCCUCGGCUCAACUGAGGAACUGCAACUAAAACUAUUGUUCUUGAGUGUUGGAGAGGAAAGUGGAAUUCCUAGUGUAGCGGUGAAAUGCGUAGAUAUUAGGAGGAACACCGGUGGCGAAGGCGACUUUCUGGACAAUAACUGGCGUUGAGGCACGAAAGUGUGGGGAGCAAACAGGAUUAGAUACC